UCAAUGUAGUCUAGAUGGGCUGCACAAUUAGACAGAGCCCUUGGCCAACUCCAGGGGCUCUUGAACUACAACUCCCAGCAUGCCUCACUAUUGACUUUGCUGGGUAGGGCGGAUGAGGAUCGCGAGUGAGCAAGAUCCCGUAGAGCCAAACUUUGCCCGCCCCCGGUCUUAGUCACACCGCUGCAGGAAAACAGAGCUAACAGCGUCCAGAAGUUUUCUUGGCACAUAAAGGAUGCGCUAGCUAGAGGCUUUCUUUUUUAUCCUUCCUCCCUAAAUAGAUUGCAUGACAUUUUAUGCAUGUUUUGAAGUUCUAGUCCUUUAAUUUUUUUUCCUCCUUCCUUGCAGGGUGAGCAAAGAGCCACAUUGUAAGACUUGGAAGCGGGCCCGGGAAAACCUUUUGGGGGUACAAGAAGCCUGUCUUAUCCAACUCCACCUGAAGCUGCAGGGCAGCCACCUGCUAAGAGCAACUGCGAACCCAUCCCCUUUGCCUCCUUUCAUCUCGGGAGGCUUUUAAAAUGUUGGUAUAUGGAAAAAAGGGAGAGACGGAUUUCAGCCUGGUUGUGCUGGAAUCCACCUACGAUGAAUCAGCAACAGCUAGAGAAAGGAGCUCUGUGCAGGUGGCUACUUUCCACGUAUCGAAUUUUCUGAAUAGUAAAUAACAAGAGUGGUCUUCUCUGGAAACGAAAGGACGAACUGUACAUACAUGCAGGCAAGAGCUGCCCUCAACGUUUAGGGUCAGAAAGAGACAUUAUAGAGAGCUCAUGAUUGGAAGAGAUAAUUCCUCAACGGCUGAAAGCAUCAGAGUAGGCAGCUGGAGCUUUCUUCUUCUUGAAAUCAAAAUGGUGGAUCCUGGCACGUGGCACGGAUUCUACGGCACCGAUGAACAAAUCCUCUCCCAAACAUCACCGUUUGCUGUUCCCUGUCUCGGGAAUGAGAGAGCUUUCUACGAAGCGCACGGCAUCACCUCUUUGCUGCUUUGAUAAGCCGCUGCAUACUCAGCAAAGUCGGCGUGACAGAACUCACCUCCCUCACGAACCCGAAGAUCAGCAUCUUUUCCUGAUGGUAUAUUAAAAGAGAACUAACUUGUCAAGAAGACUGUUUCGGAAGCAAUAAUAAUGUUAUUGAUUUUGAUGCAAGGAGGUUGGCUUUCCCAGCAGCGUCCGGUCUUUUUUCUGAUUGUGCAAAUUCCCUAAGACACAUUCCCUGAACGAAGAGUUUUUGAAUAAGAACAUACGGUUUAAACUGAACACAGUGAUGCCCACAUUUUGAUCUCUUCGUAUCGAUGAAUCCAUCUGGCGGGCCCUUUUCGGCCUUGUAAGUAUUUUUCAGUUCUUGCACACCUCCCAAGUUUGCGAUUCGUUUCUGGUGUGUAC
rnacentral:lncRNA from 1 species